rnacentral:pre_miRNA from 1 species
GGUGCUGAUUGUCCAAACGCAAUUCUUGUGCUUGUGUGAAACAGGAGUUGUGGAUGGACAUCACGCUCC